UACGUAGGUGGCAAGCGUUGUCCGGAUUUACUGGGCGUAAAGAGCGCGCAGGCGGUCGAGUAAGUCGGAUGUGAAAGCCCCCGGCUCAACUGGGGAGGGUCAUUCGAUACUGAUCGACUCGAAGGCAGGAGAGGGAAGCGGAAUUCCCGGUGUAGUGGUGAAAUGCGUAGAUAUCGGGAGGAACACCAGUGGCGAAGGCGGCUUUCUGGCCUGUUCUUGACGCUGAGGCGCGAAAGCUAGGGGAGCGAACGGG
rnacentral:rRNA from 1 species